ensembl:lncRNA
GCAACACCACCCUGUGUGAAGGCUAUAAUUUUCAACACAGAAUAUGGACCGCUUUGUGCUGAUCCAAACGCUCAGUGGGUCAAAGAUCUCAUUGCGAGCAUGACGAGGGUAUGAAGUACAAAGUGUGAGGUGAAGCAUCGUUGCCUGUCGGCUCAUCAGUAUCUCCUCAUGAAUUUUAUUCAAACUUUUCUUUGAAAUGUUUUUAUUACUUUACUCUUUUAAUUCUGUUCUUGUUCUUAUAUGACUUUAAAGUGACGACUAAUAAUGGACGUGAAUCUAUGCUUAGACGAACCAACUGAUUUUCUUUUUUUUUUAAGUUUAGUUACAUAUUUAGUUUCAAAUCUUCUUUUAUUCUUUAUUUUUGCUUUUAUGAUUCCAUUUAUCUGUGUACAUCAUGAUGUUUUGCAAAGCUGACUCUGACAAAUGAUAUCCAAAUAAAC